AGUGUGAUUGCUGGAUCAUAUGGUAAGACUACAUUUAAUUUUUUAAGAAACUGCCAAACUGUUUUUCAAGCUGGCUGUACCAUCUUGCAUUCCCCCCAGCAAU
rnacentral:pre_miRNA from 1 species